rnacentral:misc_RNA from 1 species
GUGGAAUUCCAGUUGAACCACAAGUGCGUCUAGGUGUUUCACCUUCGGUCACGAUGCCUUCUACUUUGAGGACUUCUUCCGAGCCUUUCCUGUCUCUUCUUCGUCUUCCCCAUCCUCAUCGUCAUCUUCUUCAUCCUCGUCCUCAUCUAUGUCGUCAUCCUCGUCUAUGUCGUCUUCGAAGUCUUCUCCCUGGACAGCUUCCCCGGUAAACCAUGAAACAGCAUGUGGUAUGAUCUUGUCCCUUAUAGUCGACCCAAUAUCGUAAUCUUGCUCCAUUUGAUUCUGCAGUUCUUCGGCAAUAUCUUCAUCGAUCUCAUCAUCAUCCUCGGGUACUUGUGGUGGGUUGAAGAAAUUGAAAAAACUCUCACAGUCCUCGGUUUUAGUAAUCGGCCUGGUGUUUUUUG